GAGCUGUCAUACUCUGCCAGUGUUUUGGUUCCUAUGGCCCAGAACAGCAUCCCGGGUGGCAGAACAAGGAAAAAACAUAAUAGUCACAGAGGAAGAGAAGAAGCAUUGGGCCCUUUUAUGGUUGUAAACUUCCUCCAGAAGGGCUGUGGAGGCUCCUGGCUUUGUGAUGCCCUGGCAGGACACGGUGGUUGCUGUAGCACAGAGAGCUCUGGAGGAGAAAGCCUGAAAUGCCCCCUGACCCCAAGAGUGAAAGACAAAUCUUCCAACCAACAAACAAGGAUACAGUCUUACAGUUGCCUUCAAGAGGAAACCUGAUAUCUACCCUGGCAAAGGAGACAGAAUCCUGCAGAUCUGGCUUCACAGCUCACUGCUAUUAUGGCACAGCAAGCUUCUCUUUCCUGGUGUCUGAAACCUGGUUGUAAAGAUGGCUAUGCUGGAAGAAGGCAGGUAUUGAUUAAUGUCUA